AUUGAACGCUGGCGGCAGGCCUAACACAUGCAAGUCGAGCGGAGCGGCGGACGGGUGGGUAAUGGCUUGAAAUCUGACUGGUAGUGGGGGAUAGCGUCCGGAAAGGGGCGCUAAUCUCGUAUAGCCUUAGAUGAGCCGAGGUCGGAGUGGCUAGUUGGUGGGGUAAAGGCCUACCAAGGCGACGCGCCGUAACUGGUCUGAGAGGAUGAUAAGUCACACUGGAACUGAGACACGGUCCAGACUCCUACAGGAGGCAGCAGUGGGGAAUAUUGGACAAUGGGCGAAAGCCUGAUCCAGCCAUGCCGCGUGUGUGAAGAAGGUCUUCGGAUUGUAAAGCACUUUAAGUUGGGAGGCGUUACCAACAGAAUAAGCACCGGCUAACUUCGUGCCAGCAGCCGCGGUAAUUC
rnacentral:rRNA from 1 species